rnacentral:rRNA from 1 species
ACGGAAGGCAGCAGUGGGGAAUAUUGGGCAAUGGGCGAAAGCCUGACCCUGCAACGCCGCGUGAAGGAAGAAGGCCUUCGGGUUGUAAACUUCUUUUAUCAGGGACGAAGAACGUGACGGUACCUGAUGAAUAAGCCACGGCUAACUACGUGCCAGCAGCCGCGGUAAUACGUAGGUGGCAAGCGUUAUCCGGAUUUACUGGGUGUAAAGGGCGCGUAGGCGGGGAUGCAAGUCAGGUGUGAAAUCUAUGGGCUUAACCCAUAAACUGUAUUUGAAACUGUAUCUCUUGAGUGUCGGAGAGGUAGAUGGAAUUCCUAGUGUAGCGGUGAAAUGCGUAGAUAUUAGGAGGAACACCAGUGGCGAAGGCGAUCUACUGGACGAUAACUGACGCUGAGGCGCGAAAGCGUGGGGAGCAAACAGGAUUAGAUACCCUGGUA